CGGCCCGCCGCCGGCCGCAACGGGCGGCUGCCGCGCGUUAUGCGGCGGAAAGG
rnacentral:sRNA from 1 species